AUUGAACGCUGGCGGCAGGCCUAACACAUGCGAGUCGAGCGGAUGAAGGGAGCUUGCUCCUGGAUUCAGCGGCGGACGGGUGAGUAAUGCCUAGGAAUCUGCCUGGUAGUGGGGGAUAACGUCCGGAAACGGGCGCUAAUACCGCAUACGUCCUGAGGGAGAAAGGGGGGGAUCUUCGGACCUCACGCUAUCAGAUGAGCCUAGGUCGGAUUAGCUAGUUGGUGGGGUAAAGGCCUACCAAGGCGACGAUCCGUAACUGGUCUGAGAGGAUGAUCAGUCACACUGGAACUGAGACACGGUCCAGACUCCUACGGGAGGCAGCAGUGGGGAAUAUUGGACAAUGGGCGAAGGCCUGAUCCAGCCAUGCCGCGUGUGUGAAGAAGGUCUUCGGAUUGUAAAGCACUUUAAGUUGGGAGGAAGGGCAGUAAGUUAAUACCUUGCUGUUUUGACGUUACCAACAGAAUAAGCACCGGCUAACUUCGUG
rnacentral:rRNA from 1 species